UCCCUGGUGGUCUAGUGGUUAGGACUUAGUGCUUUUAUUCCUGUGGCCUGGGUUCAUUCCCUGGCCUGGAAA
rnacentral:tRNA from 1 species